GAACUGUGCGAACGUUAUUCGGAAUCACUGGGCUUACAGGGUGCGUAGGCGGCUUGUCAAGUAGGGUGUGAAAGCCCCCGGCUCAACCGGGGAAUGGCGCCCUAAACUGGCGAGCUAGAGUGAGAUAGGGGUGUGUGGAACUUCCGGUGGAGCGGUGAAAUGUGUUGAUAUCGGAAGGAACGCCGGUGGCGAAAGCGACACACUGGAUCUUGUCUGACGCUGAGGCACGAAAGCCAGGGGAGCGAACGGGAUUAGAUACCCCGGUAGUCCUGGCUGUAAACGAUGAGCACUAGCUAGGAGGGGCGUAUGCCCUUCCUAACGGAGCGAAAGUGUUAAGUGCUCCGCCUGGGGAGUAUGGUCGCAAGGCUG
rnacentral:rRNA from 1 species